CAGCAGCCGCGGUAAUACAGAGGGUGCGAGCGUUAAUCGGAUUUACUGGGCGUAAAGCGUGCGUAGGCGGCUUUUUAAGUCGGAUGUGAAAUCCCUGAGCUUAACUUAGGAAUUGCAUUCGAUACUGGGAAGCUAGAGUAUGGGAGAGGAUGGUAGAAUUCCAGGUGUAGCGGUGAAAUGCGUAGAGAUCUGGAGGAAUACCGAUGGCGAAGGCAGCCAUCUGGCCUAAUACUGACGCUGAGGUACGAAAGCAUGGGGAGCAAACAGGAUUAGAUACCCCGGUAGUCCCUGUCUCUUAUAC
rnacentral:rRNA from 1 species